rnacentral:misc_RNA from 1 species
AAGUCGUAACAAGGUUUCCGUAGGUGAACCUGCGGAAGGAUCAUUGCAAAUCAAAGAUUGGGGAUGAUAUGAUGCGAUAAGUGUGUGGUGGGUUUGUUUGAGAGCGAUUUUGAACCGUAAGGUUUGAGAGCGAUCUUGACAUUUUGCUGCUACUUGUUGCUUCAAUUUCAUUUUCAUAUACGCACAGCGUGCUUGGAUUUAGAGAGUGAAAAUUCUCUUUGUCCAAACACACAUGUUUACGCUUGUUUGUUUGACAAAUCUAUUACAUUUAAAUAUUCAAAACUUUUAACAACGGAUCUCUUGGCUCUU